rnacentral:tRNA from 1 species
GCGGCGGUCGUCUAGCCUGGUCUAGGACGUCAGCCUGCCACGCUGAAAAUCGCGGGUUCAAAUCCCGCCCGCCGCA